AAACUCAUAAUUUAACGGUAGAAUACGCCUUUGAUGAGGGCGGUGUAAGAGUUCGAAUCUCCUUGAGUUUA
rfam:Serendipita vermifera MAFF 305830 unplaced genomic scaffold scaffold_217, whole genome shotgun sequence.